GACGAACCGUGCGAACGUUGUUCGGAUUCACUGGGCUUAAAGGGCGCGUAGGCGGAUUGGCAAGUCCGGGGUGAAAUCUUUCAGCUUAACUGGAAAAGUGCCUUGGAUACUGCCAGUCUCGAGGGAGGUAGGGGUCUGCGGAACUUCUGGUGGAGCGGUGAAAUGCGUAGAUAUCAGAAGGAACGCCGGUGGCGAAAGCGGCGGACUGGACCUCUUCUGACGCUGAGGCGCGAAAGCUAGGGGAGCAAACGG
rnacentral:rRNA from 1 species